AACGAACGCUGGCGGCAUGCCUAACACAUGCAAGUCGAACGAGACCUUCGGGUCUAGUGGCGCACGGGUGCGUAACGCGUGGGAACCUGCCCUUAGGUUCGGAAUAACUCCCCGAAAGGGGUGCUAAUACCGGAUAAUGUCUUCGGACCAAAGAUUUAUCGCCUUUGGAUGGGCCCGCGUUGGAUUAGCCAGUUGGUAGGGUAAAAGCCUACCAAGGCGACGAUCCAUAGCUGGUCUGAGAGGAUGAUCAGCCACACUGGGACUGAGACACGGCCCAGACUCCUACGGGAAGCAGCAGUGGGGAAUAUUGGACAAUGGGCGAAAGCCUGAUCCAGCAAUGCCGCGUGAGUGAUGAAGGCCUUAGGGUUGUAAAGCUCUUUUACCCGGGAUGAUAAUGACAGUACCGGGAGAAUAAGCUCCGGCUAACUCCGUG
rnacentral:rRNA from 1 species